CACACACACACACACACACACACACACACAAAUUAUUAUUUAUGAAAUUACACUGAAUUUGCAGGCUACUAGCUCUGACGAGCUAACUGCAUCACACGUUUCUGACUGUUGACAGAAGCAUUAGCACGUUAUGUGCAAACACGUAGUUCUAGAUGGCACACACCUUAAGAGAGAGAUAAAGAGCGCACUGGAGGCACAUUUCACUACUGCAGCUUUACCACAGGGAUUAAAAACACCUCCCAUCAGCACAGGACAUUUUCUGUUCAAAACCAGAGAAAACCGGUCAGGGCGGUCGUCCCCUUGAGGAGCAGAAACAGAGAGGCCUGGGCAAGUUCUCCCUUGAUAUUCCUGUUCUGCUGAAAUCCCACAUAACCGGCUAAACCGGUCCCCUAAAGCCCUGUGGUAAUAGAGGGACAACUAACUCGAGAACAGAAAUGUCCAAUGCAGACACCUGCGGUUGUAUAUUUAAAGCAGAAGUCAGAGACUUGAGAGUUUUCAUACAAAUAAACAGGGAAAAAAAGGCAUGGUUCGUAAGCAUAGCAUAGCAGGUUCUUAGUAUAGCAGAACCUGUAAAUGAACUUCUUAACAGCUGUAUGGAAGUUUGAUCAGUCUGCAGUGUCCAUUGUUCUAACUUCGAUGUUGAAUGGUGCCUUUGUGAAUGACACAUGGGCAGCUGUGUGUGUGAAGUGAGCAGCAGGGUGUGGUGGACUCAUUGACAGUGGUACUGGUAUGUAAAUUCGAUGGCAAACAACAGACAAUAGCGAAGGCCCAUGUGUCGUCUCGGAAACUAGAUGCGAUGCCACUUCCUGAUUCCCAAACCAGAUUCCUUAUGACUGGCCUGACUGGGUUACGAUGGAUAUCUUCAUCAACGUCGUCAUCAUCGUCAAGUUUCUCUUCCUAGCUGCCACUCCUGCAGCCCCAGGUACCAUAAAUAUCAACAUGUAACACUUAACACUGAUUUCUGUUGUCCGUUUUCAAUAAUAUACACUGCAGCCACAUGUGGUGGUGCCUUUAAAACUCUUGAUUUUUAAUCAUUUCAGUGAAAGUUUUCUUGAGAAAACCACAAUGCAAACCUAAAUUUUAAUUAAGGCCUGUAAACUUGGAUGACUAAUGCUGACAUUUAGCUCAUUCAUACUCAUACUGAAAAUGUAACCCAUCUGCAUGCAGAGCAGUGUUGUCAUGCUUGGUAACUGACAGAAACAUUCAUACUCACUGUUGUUCCAUUUUUAUCAAACAUCAGCAUGUACUGUGUGCACACCCAUUCAAAUCAACAGUUGGCCCAGAAGAAGGUACAAAAAGCUAGCCUCAAAUCUAGAGAGUCAGAUAAAGAACAGCAACCUGAAUGUAAAAAAAAAAACAAUGAAUGAAGAAUAUAAUUCUAGGAAGCAGUUGAGCCACCUCCAGGUAUUGCCAUCAAGUUUGGAACUGAGCCACAUGAGCUCCUCCCAUUAUGAAGAAAGAUCGCACAGAAGCAAAACAUGUGGAGAGAGGGAGAAGAGGUAAUCAAUUCUGAUGUGAUUAUGGCUGUUAUACACCAAACACAAGGUGAGUGCAGAGUUUUUAUACUUUUCUUCAGACGCUAACCUAACCAAGGGACCAAACGAGUUGGUGGCUCAAGUCCUGAACCUCUCAACACUGUUGUUGAUAAGUCAUUCAAAUAAUGAUUAAAAGGUUCAAACAGAAAAACAAACAAACAAA